rnacentral:rRNA from 1 species
GACGAACGCUGGCGGCGUGCUUAACACAUGCAAGUCGAACGGAAAGGCCCUGCUUUUGUGGGGUGCUCGAGUGGCGAACGGGUGAGUAACACGUGAGUAACCUGCCCUUGACUUUGGGAUAACUUCAGGAAACUGGAGCUAAUACCGGAUAGGAGCUCCUGCUGCAUGGUGGGGGUUGGAAAGUUUCGGCGGUUGGGGAUGGACUCGCGGCUUAUCAGCUUGUUGGUGGGGUAGUGGCUUACCAAGGCUUUGACGGGUAGCCGGCCUGAGAGGGUGACCGGCCACAUUGGGACUGAGAUACGGCGCAGACUCCUACGGGAGGCAGCAGUGGGGAAUAUUGCACAAUGGGCGGAAGCCUGAUGCAGCAGCGCCGCGUGCGGGAUGACGGGCUUCGGGUUGUAAACCGCUUUCGCCUGUGACGAAGCGUGAGUGACGGUAAUGGGUAAAGAAGCACCGGCUAACUACGUG